rnacentral:rRNA from 1 species
CCAAUUGAUUGACGGUGCUUGCAUCUGAUUGAUUUUCGUUGCCAACGAGUGGCGGACGGGUGAGUAACACGUAGGUAACCUGCCCAGAAGUGGGGGACAACAUUUGGAAACAGAUGCUAAUACCGCAUAACAGCGUUGUUCGCAUGAACAACGCUUAAAAGAUGGCUUCUCGCUAUCACUUCUGGAUGGACCUGCGGUGCAUUAGCUUGUUGGUGGGGUAACGGCCUACCAAGGCGAUGAUGCAUAGCCGAGUUGAGAGACUGAUCGGCCACAAUGGGACUGAGACACGGCCCAUACUCCUACGGGAGGCAGCAGUAGGGAAUCUUCCACAAUGGGCGCAAGCCUGAUGGAGCAACACCGCGUGAGUGAAGAAGGGUUUCGGCUCGUAAAGCUCUGUUGUUAAAGAAGAACACGUAUGAGAGUAACUGUUCAUACGUUGACGGUAUUUAACCAGAAAGUCACGGCUAACUACGUGCCAGCAGCCGCGGUAAUACGUAGGUGGCAAGCGUUAUCCGGAUUUAUUGGGCGUAAAGAGAGUGUAGGCGGUUUUCUAAGUCUGAUGUGAAAGCCUUCGGCUUAACCGGAGAAGUGCAUCGGAAACUGGAUAACUUGAGUGCAGAAGAGGGUAGUGGAACUCCAUGUGUAGCGGUGGAAUGCGUAGAUAUAUGGAAGAACACCAGUGGCGAAGGCGGCUACCUGGUCUGCAACUGACGCUGAGACUCGAAAGCAUGGGUAGCGAACAGGAUUAGAUACCCUGGUAGUCCAUGCCGUAAACGAUGAGUGCUAGGUGUUGGAGGGUUUCCGCCCUU